UCUUGCUCCAGCUGAAACUGUCAUAUUUCAAUUUGAUUUUUUUUUCAAUCAAAAGUGAAGAGGAAAUUGUGGUAACGGUACGAUUCUAACAGAGAAAGGAGUAAAUUUUUACACGAAGAAAGACAUGCAGCCAAAAAAAGAUGAGUGGAAAUUCUGAGCAAUGUAUUUCAGCGACUGUUUGGAAGGCCUGCAUAAAUUAUCCUCAGUUUCAUGGACACCCUGCGCUGUUACACCUGAUAAGUGUUAAGGAAGUUUCAACAAAAAUAACUUCAAAAGGGAGAAAUGCAUUGCAAAUGGAUCUGUAAUCUCUUGUGAGUUAUCUCAGACUGAGAACAUGAUGGGAGCAAAGAACAUUCUGGGCAAGAGAUAUGUGUGUGUUUGUCACUUUCAAGAAUACAUAAGAACAGUCAUUAAAAGAUGUUGUCUGUUGAUCACAGCUGAGAAAAUCCCUAGUCAUCCCUGUACUGAAGGUGAAGAAAAAGGUAGUCUUUAUUUUUGCUGAAGCCAAAAAGGACCAAAGUCAACAGGCCUGCAAAGCCGAAUAUUUUGAAACUAACUCCUUACGUAUCAAUAUCAAAGCUACCAGUAUCACCAAAUGUAAUGGCCUCAAAAUCCCAUCAGUGACUAAUAAAUUCACUCUCUUGCUAACUCAAA